GAAUUUUCCGCAAUGGGCGAAAGCCUGACGGAGCAACGCCGCGUGCGGGAUGACGCUUUUCGGAGUGUAAACCGCUGUUCAUGGGGACGAAGCACUGACGGUACCCAUGGAGGAAGGCCCGGCUAACUACGUGCCAGCAGCCGCGGUAAUACGUAGGGGCCAAGCGUUGUCCGGAGUUACUGGGCGUAAAGCGCGCGCAGGUGGCUCACUGCGCCCGGCGUGAAAGCCCCCGGCCUAACCGGGGAGGGUCGUCGGGGACGGGUGAGCUUGAGGGUAGCAGGGGCUGGUGGAAUUCCCGGUGUAGUGGUGAAAUGCGUAGAGAUCGGGAGGAACACCCGUGGCGAAGGCGGCCAGCUGGGCUACACCUGACACUGAGGCGCGAAGGCGUGGGGAGCGAACGG
rnacentral:rRNA from 1 species